ensembl:ncRNA lncRNA:CR44450 long non-coding RNA:CR44450
UAAGAGAAAUGUUUUAUGCAAUAAACCAAAUGAAAAUGUUGAUUAAAGUUUUGCUUUUUCAGUUUCCUGGCUAAAUUGCACAAAAACUGGAGGGCAAUCGGAGGGGAGAGCACGUGUGUAUGGAGUGUGUGUUCUUAACAUAACACAUAAACACAAGUACAUACACAACUCUGGAGUACUUUUUAAAGGAAAACGAACUUAUUCUAACUUGCUCUUUAUUUUAAUAGCAUUUAAUGUAAAAAUAUAUCUGUCAAAAAUAUCUGCCUGCUUAUAUGGAACAACAUGUGCUUAAGACAAAAUA